rnacentral:lncRNA from 1 species
AUGCUUCAUAGCCCUUAGCUAUGAAGUCCAUAGCUAUCUGGCAAGCUUGGAGUAAAAGCCUAUAGCUUUUACUAUUCAAUUUAAUUUCUUUUUAUUCAGAGUAUGUAUUUCAAUUUAUCAUUAACUGCUGGAUGAAAAGACAGACAAGGAAUGCUUGAAUUUCUGGACUACCAAGAGGCUUUCCUCCCUAGAACAAAAUUUGACUUGAGAUAUACCUUUCAGUGGAAAAAUAGGAGGGUACGAACUAUCUUUUCAGGUAAGAAGAAAGUGUCUCUUCUCUUUUUGUUCACAUAAUAAAUGCUGGGCAGGAUCUCUAGCCAGGGUAUUAA